CCUUACGGCCUGGGCUACACACGUGCUACAAUGGCGGUACAAAGGGUCGCGAACCCGCGAGGGGGAGCCAAUCCCAAAAAGCCGCUCUCAGUUCGGAUUGCAGGCUGCAACUCGCCUGCAUGAAGCCGGAAUCGCUAGUAAUCGCGGAUCAGCAUGCCGCGGUGAAUACGUUCCCGGGCCUU
rnacentral:rRNA from 1 species